rnacentral:rRNA from 1 species
UACGAAGGGGGCAAGCGUUGCUCGGAAUCACUGGGCGUAAAGGGUGCGUAGGCGGGUCUUUUAAGUCAGGGGUGAAAUCCUGGAGCUCAACUCCAGAACUGCCUUUGAUACUGAAGAUCUUGAGUUCGGGAGAGGUGAGUGGAACUGCGAGUGUAGAGGUGAAAUUCGUAGAUAUUCGCAAGAACACCAGUGGCGAAGGCGGCUCACUGGCCCGAUACUGACGCUGAGGCACGAAAGCGUGGGGAGCAAACAGG